GCCUGGGUGGCUCAGUUGGUUAAGCGUCUGACUUCGGCUCAGGUCACGAUCUCACUGUCGUGGGUUCGAGCCCCGCGUCGGGCU